rnacentral:lncRNA from 1 species
AAUUCCAUAGAAGCAAAGGAUUUACUGCAAAUGCGGUACCGCAGAAGCGGCGAUGGGGCCGCAGAUGCGGAACAACUGGGCAGAAGAAUUAAAAAGAGUCCUUCGCGAACUUUGGGUUACACCAUUUUUGGACUUCGGCUUGGAGCUUUUUAGGUGAUUUAAAAGAGGGAUUACAAGGGAACUUCGUAAGGUAAGGAUUUUGGACCUAAAACACAUUUCUAUGGUAGUAUUUCAUGGAUUAAAGUUGUAAUUAAAGGAAUUAAAUGGCUAAAAAUGGAGCAUUAAGGCUUCAGUUUAUGAGGGUUUUAAAGGAGGAUUUGAGGGGUCAUUUGGACUCCGAUUUUAGUGUUCUUAAUAUGCAUAGACUCGUGGGGAGAUGAAGAAUUUAUUGAUGUAAAAAUUACUGAAUUUCAAGAUGUGGGCCCGGGGGUCGGGUUUUGGUAAUUUCGGAAUUUGUGCCCUUUAUUGAUUGUUUUCGCUUGGGCUUCGUUUCCUUAGCAUAUUUUGACGUCAUCGUUCUGAUUUUGGGUAGAUUUGAUGCGCGUGGAGGCCGAUUCGAGGAGAAAAGGCGUCACGAGCUAGAGAUUUAGCCGGUUUGAGGUGAGUAAUAAUUGUAAAUGAUGUUCUAAGGGUUUGAAACCCCGAAAUUGCACAUCGUAGUGCUAUAUUGAGGUGAGACAUACGCUUAAUGACGAGUGUGAGGUCGUUCACUAUUGGGGAUUGUGACUUGGUCCGUCCCGAUUGAUGAUUUUACCGCGUAUUUGAUUGAAAACUAUUUGCUAUCAUCAUUAUUCGGGUUGAAUGCCAUAUUUGGGCCUAGUGCCAACUAUUUGAACCCUUCGGGGAUUUUUAUUAUUAUUUCCUCACUAUUUUGACUUUACACUUGAACUCAGUCCUGUUAUUUUUCACUGUUUUCAUACUCAGCCAUGUUUACUCAGUUUUAAGACAUAAAUGAUAUUUUAAAUGAUAUUUGGGCUGAGAAACACUAUUUACUAUUGCCCGAGGGGCUUGUGAGUAUUUUUGACUGAGUAAGGCUGAGGGCCUAGUUGUGAAGAAAUACUGAUACUGAUUUGAGGCCGAGGGCAUGAGAUAUAUGCGCUAUGAGGUAGCUUGAUUGAUAUGAGGCCGAUGGCCUAGUUUUGAUGCCAUGAGAUGACUUGUUGUUGCGCUUGGGUCGUAAGGGGCCCCUUCAGGAGUAUGCAUACCCCAGUGAGCGCGGGUACCCAUUGUGAUGUGAGAUUGAGCCCGAGGGGCUGUUAUUGUUCUAAGAUGUUGCCCGAGGGGCGGAUGUGGUGAUACUGUGCCCGAGGGGCGAACUUUUAUUUGUUUACUCUACCUUAAUUACCUGUCAAUUACUUGUUUAUUUGUUGAAAGAGGAUUUUACUUGAGUUUCCACUGUUGUACUGCUUUUAAAUGAUUUUACUGCUUCAUUAUAGAAUGCCUUGUGCCUUAUGUGUUUUCUUAUGCCUUGUGCCUUAUGUGUUUUCUUACUUUCAGUCAUUAGUUACAUUUGUUACUCACUGAGUCGGAGUACUCACUUUACUCCCUGUACCCCUGUGUGUAGAUUCAGGUGUUGCUGAUCCUGCUAGUGCGAGUUGAGGGCUCCCAGCGGACAUUCAGAGUUCACGAGGUAGCUACUUGACGUCUGCGGACCCGUGUUCUCCCUCUUUAUCAUUUCUAUCUCAUAUCAGACUUUUGUACUAGUUGUAGACCUUUCAAACUUGUAUUAGGUUUUAUAGAUGCUCAUGACUAGUGAUACCCCGGUUAGGGCUGUGUUGGGUUGUGCUUCCGCGUAUUUAUGAUAUUAUCUACU